AUGCUCAGGGUCGCAGGUCGACACAUAUCCUCCCACCUCGCAUGGCGCCCCGCCGCGGCCGCCUCCGCCGGCGGCCUCCCUGGCGACGACUUCCCCCGGGACCAGAAUCCGCGCUUCGCCAUCGAAUCACCCUUCUAUGUCGCUGCCAGAGGCUUUUCGGUUGAAUCUCUUGUUCCGAGGAACCAGGAUGGAGAGUUGGCUGAGCUCACACCAACUACAGCAGCUCUGAAGAAUGCCUGUGCCAAAAUUGUGUAUGAUGAGUAUAACCACGAGAGGUACCCACCUGGUGACCCCAGCAAGCGUGCCUUUGCCUACUUUGUGUUGAGUGGUGGGAGAUUUGUGUACGCAUCCUUGUUGCGUUUGCUCGUCUUAAAGUUUGUCCUGAGUAUGUCAGCAAGUAAGGAUGUGCUUGCCCUCGCUUCCCUUGAGGUUGACCUGUCAAGUAUUGAGCCCGGUACCACUGUGACUGUAAAGUGGCGGGGCAAGCCAGUUUUCAUCAGGCGCAGGACUGAAGAUGAUGUGAAGCUGGCCAACAGCGUUGAUGUUACAUCUCUCCGUGAUCCACAGGAGGAUGCGAUGCGUGUCAAGAACCCUGAGUGGCUUGUUGUCAUUGGUGUCUGCACUCACUUGGGCUGCAUUCCCCUCCCCAACUCUGGGGACUUCGGUGGCUGGUUCUGCCCAUGUCAUGGCUCACACUAUGACAUCUCAGGUAGAAUCAGGAAGGGCCCAGCACCAUACAACCUGGAGGUCCCGACCUACAGUUUCUUGGAAGAUAACAAAAUGCUUAUUGGCUAA
rnacentral:rRNA from 1 species